rnacentral:rRNA from 1 species
UACAGAGGUCCCAAGCGUUGUUCGGAUUCAUUGGGCGUAAAGGGUGCGUAGGCGGCGCGGUAAGUCGGGUGUGAAAUCCUGGAGCUCAACUCCAGAACUGCCUUUGAUACUGGGGAUCUCGAGUCCGGGAGAGGUGAGUGGAACUCCGAGUGUAGAGGUGAAAUUCGUAGAUAUUCGGAAGAACACCAGUGGCGAAGGCGGCUCACUGGCCCGGUACUGACGCUGAGGUGCGAAAGCGAUGGGGAGCAA